rnacentral:tRNA from 1 species
GGGAAGUUAGCUCAGUUGGUAGAGCGCCAGUUUGUGGAACUGGCCGUCACGGGUUCGAGUCCCGUACUUCCCC